GUCUUUGUUAAAUUUGCACUUUUCAAAAAAAAUUGUAGAAUUUAUCUUUGUUUAAAAUGAAGAAAUACUUGGCAUGAGUAAAGUUUUAUCCUGUCCAGUACUAUAGAAAAAAAAUCACAUAACAUUGCAUUGCAUAUAAGAAAAUAACCAUCACUGGAAGCUAACCAAUCAAAUUUCUCCCCUUAUUUUAUCUGUGUACAAGGUUUAGUCACCAUGUAACCUCAAGAUUACAAAAUAUUCUAUAGAAAUCCCAAAUAAAAAAAUUAUGGUGCUUUGAAAUACCCAAGACAUAUGUUUAUGACACAGAAAUCUUUUACUGCAAUAAAAUGUAGGAUUAAUUACCUACAACUGUCAAAUUCAAGGGAAUAUUUUUUUCGAC
rnacentral:lncRNA from 1 species